CGGGGUGAGUAACGCGUGAGCAAUCUGCCUUUGGAUGGGGGAUAACAGCCGGAAACGGCUGCUAAUACCGCAUAAUGCAACGGGACCGCAUGGUUCUGCUGCCAAAGAUUUAUUGUCCAAAGAUGAGCUCGCGUCUGGUUAGCCAGUUGGCGGGGUAACGGCCCACCAAAGCGACGAUCAGUAGCCGGACUGAGAGGUUGAACGGCCACAUUGGGACUGAGACACGGCCCAGACUCCUACGGGAGGCAGCAG
rnacentral:rRNA from 1 species